rnacentral:lncRNA from 1 species
CGUAGUAUCUAGAUUAGUAAAGCAUAAAAAGGUCCUAUAGACAUGAUUUCUAAAUGAUAUACAAUAUUAAAGUCAUAUAGGCACGACAUCAAGAUGAUUGAAGCAUGAAAGAUCCUAUAGACAUGAUUUUUAAAUGAUAUGCAAUAUUAGAAUCCCAUAGGCAUAGUAUAUAGAUGAGUAAAGCAUAAAAAGGUCCCAUAGACAUGAUUUCUACCCAUUGACUUAUGCAAGAAAUAUAAAUCCAUCCCACACCCUUUACUAGUAUUUUCUCCGAGUUUUAUUACGUAGUUAUUACAAAAAUUGGAAAGAAGUAGACUGAAAUAAAUACGUCAAAACAAAACCAGACCCGAGGAGGCUAAAUGCAACAUUCAACAUCCAACACAUGUGUUUCACCAAAUCCAGAUUCCAGAUUCCAAGGCCUUCUCUUAGAGUGUUUCAAAAUUCCAAGGGGUUUUCAAAAGUCCAGGCAAUGGCUACACUCUAAGGGUUGAAACAGAGUAGUGCAAUGGGUAGAAUUACCAGCCCUUAGGCAUCCAAAUUCAGAGGGAACCCUAGGGUCCCUAAGAAUGGCUUACCAUAGGAGGGUAGAACUUAAAGAACUAAGAAUAAGUGUAAAGUGAUGGGACUAGAGGAAACCAAAGCAAAUGGUGGUCAUACCCAGCCAUGGGAAAGAAUGGCACACCCCUGACCCUCCACUUGGUUUAUUCAGAUAAAGAGCAGACUUUAGAAGUCAGACAGGGGCCUGGGUGGUGAUUAGGACACUUCCAGACCCUAGUCAAGGCUCAACUCAUAAAGGGGAGAAGGGAAUGUGACUAAUUUGAGUAAAGGUCCAAAAGGACCUGGUCCCAGGUCAAGGAUAACAAUGGGAUGCUACCCUAACCUAGAACUGUACUCACAAGAAAAGGGAAUGGGACUGAUUUGAGUAAAGAUCCAAGAGAAACUGGUCCCAGGUCAUGGAUAGCAAUGAGAUGCUACUCUAACCUGGGACAACACUCACACAUAAAGGGUUCAGGGGGAAGGGGUUCGUACGGAAACACAUUAAGUAACAGGACCUAAAUAUGUAGAAACAUCAAGAAUGAACAUAACAGACUAAAACACAGAUACAUAAUGCGAGAAAGCUAAAUAUAUAGUGAGGGGACAUGAAAAAAGGAGAAGUAAACACAUAGUUGUGGAGAUGUUUAACUUAUGAGGACAUACCAGUUGUAACUUUCAAACACCAGAACAAACAAAGCAAGAAAACAGCAAGAGAGAUUCCAAAGUCUAGCCUUGGCUUUCAGCCGGCUAGUCAGAACAAUAACACAAGUAAUAGUAAAGAAAAGAGAGCUUUGAGUGUGUGUAUUUUUUGGAACUCAGUUGUUCGUGUCUUUUAAAGAAAAGGAUUGAGGUAUUUAUAGCUGAAAACAAGAAGGUAAAAAGGGCAAGAAAUAGUUCAGUAUCAAUCAUAAUCAAUCAGGAGAAGGGAACCCCUCUAAUUAAGGAGUUCGAAUCUGCAUAUGAGAGGGUAGAAUUUUUAUUUAAGGAAAGAAAAUCAAGAACACAUUGUGUAGUAAAAGGGUAAAUACAUUAGGGAAGUUUAAAAGUACACGGUUUAGAUAAAUAAGGUAAAAAUAAAAUCAAUUAACACAUAGUAAAUUAAGGAAUUAAGGAUUCAAACUUAAUAAUGAAUUAAGUCAGAAAGUAGGUUCAAAUUAGACGAAGAAAGAAUCAAAUAAGCUCAUAUAAUAGAGGUCUGAAAUCAAUCCCCCAAAAGUAGGUUUUUUUAGAAGAAAAGGUCUGACUAUAAAAGAUGCAUAAACUUAAACAUACAGAGGCUAAAAUUAAACAAACAGAGUGGUCAUACAAUGAAGAAUAGAAGGUCAUAGCUAAGCGAGAAAUUAGAAGGUCAUGCAAAUCAGAGAACAUGAGAUGAAUUUAGAGAUUAGGGUUUUUGAAAUCAAACAGGAAACAACACAAUCGCACAUAAGUGGUUUGGAAAACCCCAAAUUCUAGGGUUUCCUCCACAGAUUAAGUGUAAAGAUGAAAGCAUAAGAAAUCAGGUGAAUAAACUCAAGAAAAUCCAAAGAACACAGACAUUUCAUGGAAGCAAACACAGUAAAGGAAGUCACUAGAAACCCUAGGAGAAAGUAUAGAAACUCAGGCGAAAUAAACUAAGGAAAACCCAAAGAACACAGACAUUUAAUGGAAGCAAACACGGUAAAAGAAGUCACUAGAAACCCUAGGAAAAUAUAGUAAAGAAAAUACACAGAAACCAUAGUGAAAAUACUUAGGAAUUAUAGCAAAGUAAAAAAUAUAGUAAGAAAUAGAAAUAGAACUAGUAAAAAUCUAGGAAACCCUAGGUUUGAGAAGACGAACAGUUUUGAAAGCAAAAAUUGGAAAAAAAACUUCUUUGGAAAUAUCAGAAAUAGCACAGAUAUAUAAUAGAUCUUAGAGAAAACAGAAAAACCUCAAAAAUGGCUUAGGGUGAGAAAGGCAUGGAAUGGUCCGAGUCGGAGAUGAACUCGCAAAGCUAGGACACGCCGGAGGUGAGUCAGAGAUGGCCAUAGAACCUGAAUAAGGGAUUCUGAGCCAGGGUUUUCAAGGUCAGACCUUGGAACUUCACAUCAUAGGAGUAUAAGGGUAAGUGGGGGUGAGUACAUGCCACUUAGAGCCUGAGAUGCCAUGGUUUUCGGCGAGAUAAGGCGAAAACUGGUGGGAAAGGGGCUAAAGUUUCAGAGAAGACUUAAGAGAGUUUGAGAGAUGAAGAGUUUUGAGGCGGCUGCUGAAAUGAAAAAUACAAGGGUUAGGGUUGGUCAUGGGUUAAAAAGGAAGGGGUUAACAUGGAUCUUUGAUCUAAAUGAGCAACGGUCGAGAUUAAGG